UUCAGAGGUCUCGAGCGUUGUUCGGAUUUACUGGGCGUAAAGGGAGCGUAGGCGGCUGGGUGUGUCGAAUGUGAAAGCCCACAACUCGAACUGUGGAAUGGCAUUCGAAACUACCUGGCUAGAGUACUGGAGAGGAGAGCGGAAUUCUUGGUGUAGCGGUGAAAUGCGUAGAUAUCAAGAGGAACACCGGUGGCGAAGGCGGCUCUCUGGACAGAUACUGACGCUGAGGCUCUAAAGUUAGGGGAGCAAACAGGAUUAGAUA
rnacentral:rRNA from 1 species